AGUGCUCACAGGACAUAUAAAGUAGCAGAUUGUGAAGGUCGGUGUUCAGAAAUUCAUCGUGCAAUUUUUGAAUUUCUAUCAUAACCCAUAGGAAAUUGAGUGGAGAAGACGACCAAGGCUAUCAGAGUGAAUCUCAACCGGAAAGAUGGUGAAAAACGGAAAAGACUUGAGGUUGGUCUGAAUUCGGACAGUUUCGAGCAAGUUGUGGUAUUUUGAUGACUUCGAGCUCUAGGAAAGGAAUUAGAAGCUAAAAUUUUGGGGUUAGUAAGAUAAGAGGUUUAUUAACAGUUUUCAUGAAGUAUGUUUGUGCUAACUAUGGAUGGUUGACGAAUUUAUAGGCAAACAAAAGCUACACGAAAAUUCAGUUGAAGCAGAGCAGGGAUAUUUUUGGGAUCUGAUUUUGAAGUAUUUAAGGAAGUUUAAAGCUUCAAAUUCUCAAGUUAGUUAGUUAAGUGGUUUUUUAUUGAGUUUAAUGCAAGAAAUUUGAAGGAAUUUGGUUUAGGAAUUGGUGAAUUAAAGGCUGAAAGUUGUAAAUGUUGCUGUCAUGUAGAGGGUGUGUACCCAUGGAGAAUUUGAAGAAUUUCUCUCAAACUAGUUGAGAAAUUGGAAUGUUUUCUUCAAAAAGUUGAAGAGGAUCGAGUAUGGAAGAACUUUGAAGGCUGCUUAAGGAGAAUGAAUUUGGAAAGACCAUCAAUUUUGAAAAAAAUAAUGGAUUGCGCAAAAUUUUGCAGAAACAGGGUAAUUGGGAUUCAAUCGAAAUUUCAAGGUUUCCAAGGUCCUUGCUACCAAAGGAGAAGAAGGCAUAUAGGGUUGUUCUCUACCCUAAUGCUGAAGGAGAUAAAAGUAACCAGGGAAGAUCUCUACGUAUAGCGAUCGAAGUCUCAGAGCCUAGCUUACAGUUGUCAUCUGCCACAAAACAGUAGAGCUUGAUAGACUCUGAAGUUAUUUAGGUCUCAGACAUGCGAUAAUAAAUUUUGAUAUACAUGAUGCACACUCUGAUUGUGAAUAUAUGUAAAUAAGUUGGUGAUGUUUAGGCCUACUUUGGAGUGAGAAUUUUAUGUGGUUGCUUUAUAGGGAUAAGUUAAUUGUUGAAACACAUAUGUUGUAUACUUGUUCAUUAGGUGUUCCAAAAGUGAGGAGAUAGGUUUACAAGAUGUGUUGGGCAAUAGGUAUCAUAAGAGGCUUUGCAUCUGCUGUCUUCACACCGCUUUCUAGAUUAAAAAGGUAGCCUGAGAGGGGGGUGUGACAGCAACUCUCCUCAAGGUAGAUGUUCUAUACUUGUGAACUUCU